CUGGUUUCUAGGGUCUCUGUCUCUUGAGUUUCAGGAAGGAGUCCUGGGAUGUAAUUCCUGGCCUGAGUGCUCCGACUCUCUGCUAUUUGAGGCUACUGUGUAAUGAACUGUCUGUUCAUUUCCUUUUAUUUGGAUUUAGCCACAACCAGCAGUGCUCAGUGAGUACUUCUAACUCAGUGCUCAAUUAUUCCUACCAGAUCUCAAGGACCCUAUUGGGUGGCGUGGAUUCAAGUCUGUCUUCGGGGCUGGAGAUAUAGCACAGCGGUUAGGGCGUUUGCCUUGCACAUGUCCAACCCAGGUUCAAUUGCCAGCAUCCCAUAUGGUCCCCGGAGUAGCGCCAGGAGUAAUUCCUACAAAGCCAGGAGUGACCCCUGAGCAUUGCUGGGUGUGACAUAAAAAGCAAAAAAAAAAGGCUCUUCAGUUUUUUUUUCUUUUCAACAUCUUUACAACAACAUUUAGUGAUCAUUAUAUUUUAUGUCAGGAAUGAUUGUGUGCUUUAUAUCUGUUUCAAUUAUAGUACUUGUCUUUGCAAAGUAAUUGUACUUUGAUCUAUGCAACAUUUUUCUUUUAAAUUUUUUUUUCAAUUAGUGAAUCACCGUGAGGAUACAGUUAACAGAUUUACAUAUUUUUAUGCUUUUGUUUCAGUCAUGCAAUGCACAAGUAUCCAUCCCUCCACCAGUACCCAUUCUCCACCACUGAUGAUCCCAGUAUCCCUCCCACCCUCCCACUCCAUACCCCAUCCUGCCUCUGUGGCAUGGUGUUCCCUUUUGUUUUGUGAGAUGAUGGGAGGGUCACAAUGAGUGAUUCUCCUGGGUUACUUUUGGCUCUGCACUCAAUAUUGUAGCUGGCCGUGCUUGCCGGACCAGAUGGGACAGUGGGGAUUGAAAGUCCUGCCCACUGUUUCUGGAUGCACUGUAGUGUAACUCCAUCUGGCGCUUUGUUUUCUAUUGUAUUUGUUGUUAUCCCACAAUGUAUGUGCUCAGGGCCACUGGAGACCUACCAGCACCUGCGGGCCUUCGGUGAGACCAGGCUGGGAGCAGGGCUGGCUUUGUGUUCCCAGAGACAGUGCUUCUGAUGGGCCAGGAUUAUUGACAUCAAUGCUUAUAACUUUCACAUGUUCAUUUCUCUUUUUCUGUUUUUGUUAUUUGGCCACACGUGGCAAUUGUCAGGCUUGCCGCAGGGAUGCAUGGGAUCUACCCAGGUCAGUCCAGAGCAUGGGAAAGCCCCCCACGUGCUGUACUAUCCAUAGGCUUCCUGUGAAUAGUUCCUUCCAUUGCUAAAUGAAUCUACUUCUUGUACGACCACAGGGGCCCAUGGGGGUGCUGUGGACUAAACUGGGUCAGCAACUAUAUGGCAGGUGUUCUAUUGUACCUGACCUGCAGCUUCAUUUGUUAUUAUUUGUUUUCAGUUUUGAUUGUGUUAGGGGCCUACACCCAGCAGUGCUCAGGGAUCACUCUGGCUGUAUAUUCAGGAAUUUCUCGUGGAAAUGCUCCUGGCCCAUAUGGUUGCUAGGGAUCAAACCUCUCUGUGUGUCAUCAGGUGCCCUCCCUGCUGGACUAUCGCUAUGAGCAUGAGUUCAUUUUGUUUUUAGGGACUCACGUCAUCAGUUGCUGUUGUAUUUCAGUGCUUUGAGUCACUUCCUGUGCUUUUUGGGGGGCUUCAACAUAACAAUUUCGGACUGAAAUUAAAACUUGGGACUUCUGUGACUGAUAAAUACCAAUUUGGGGUAUAUCAGAAGUGGAGUUUCUGUUCAAGCUCUUUUUGGAAUUAGUUUGAUCUUGUUUGGGACACAUGGGGUUGUCUUGUCACCAAUAUCAUUUCUCUGUGGGGACAGGGGAUUCUGGGGUGAAGCCUGUGGUGAUCUCCUGGCUUUAAUUAGGAGCCGUGAGGCCGGGGAGAAGAGGCAAGUGUGCAGAAAGGAAAUUGCAGCUUCAGAUGUUUUCACUGCAGCAAUUUGAUUUGGGAAUUGAGUCACCAAAAACGAGUGAGUUGAGAGCCCGGCAACCUACUGAGCGUAUCUCACCCCAACGGCAGAGCCUGGCAAGCUACAUGUGGCACACUCGAUAUGCCAAAAACAGUAACAACAAAUCUCACAAUGGAGAUGUUACUGGUGCCCACUCAAGCAAAUCGAUGAACAAUGGGAUGACAGUGCUACAGUGCUGUUUCUUUCUUGCACUUCGGUGAUGCUCAGGGAACCAUUCGGAAUUCUGAGGUGUGAACCCAGAUUGCCCGCAUGCAAGGUAAGUAAGUGCCCAACCCACUGUACUGCCCCUCUUGCCCAUCCUCUGUAUUUGUUUCUGAAACUGCCUUGAUGUGGUUUCCCUUGUAGGCAGGAGCCCAGGGGUUGGGCUUUUUCCAAAGACUGUGUUCUUCCAGCCUUUUACCCUUUCCAGUGUCUGUCCAGCUCUCUGGGCUGCUGCUAGGCCAGUUCCUCUCUGCAUCUCCAGGGCUGGCUUCAGAGUCACUGCUCUCACCCCAUCUUAAUUCCCCAGCAUCAGGUGACUUGCACCUACCUGCCUGUUUUACUUUCAAUCAACCCACCCGCGUUUUUCCUGGGGGACUGUGAUAGCAUUGGUUGAAUGUUUGACUGACCAGUACAGGAUCAAGGGUCUUCUCCUUCCCCCCGCAGCUCCUCACUCUGUGGCUCACCGCCCCAUCAGCUGCCUCUCCACUCCUUUGUUUAGUCCAUUCCCCUUACACCACCAGUUCACCUGGGUUCUCUAAAUCUUAGCCAUGGCUCUUUAAGGCCCAUGGUAGAAGCAGAAGUGAUGUCACAGAUGGCCCUUCAGGAAUCCUUUCUAAUCUAGCUGCGGUUGCCUGGCUCGGGCCGCCAUUGGUCUUGUGGGUAGAGGAGGAAUUGGUGCUCCGCAGGGCGGCUGUGAAGGCAGACUUUGUGGCAGGACCAAAGUGCUCUCCGGAGUGCCCCGCGCCUCCCCAUGUGUUUGAUAAGUGAAAUAUUGCUUUUCUCCUUCUCUCCUUUUUGCAUAGUUUACUUCAUAGCAAUGUCCUUUCUGUAGUGACACAGGAAGACAGUUAAGUCUAUGCUAUUGGAACUUUGAAGUCCUUUAAAUCCGAUGAAUAUUAACUCCUGGGCAUCUGUUUUCUUGAGACACUAAAGCCUUUGUUGUCCAUAUUUCUUGGCACCUCAAAUGCAGGGUCCUGAUGAGGGACUAGAUGGACCCAGGGCAAACUGUGAGCUACCCUGGCAUGGAAUCAGGAUAGGCCAAGUGCUAUAAUACGGUGCUUAACUAUAAGUUAAGAGCAUUAUAAGUUAAGAGCAUGGACAAAUUCACUUAUGAUCCAAAAGUAACAACUGGAUUAGGAUCCUGCUAGGGUUAGGAAAGACUACAGUGGCCUGAGAACUGUGGUCUCGGAUCUAUACUCUGGGAUCUUUAGCAAGAUGUCCCGAGGACAGCGACCCUACAAGCUUCAUGUAGUUUGUGUCCACACAAAUUGAUGAGAACAAUUAUUUAGAAGUAAAUCUAAAAUAGUUGUGGGACUAAGUAAAGGAGAAACACAACCCUAGGUGGUAUUCUGCCCUUGAGAGGAUCUUCUGGCUGCAGAAGAUCUUUCUCUUAACUUAAACUAUGUUGAUUGUGUGGCCUCACAUGGGUGUAGUUGCUACCAAGGAUGCUUGGAAGGUGGGUUCAAGACCUAGGCUAUAAGACGGAGUGCAGAGAGACUAGUUCGGAGGACAAGAGGAGAUGGGAAUGAGGGUCAGUGUGAGACUGGAAUGGGGAGCUUUGUGAGACUGGAACAAAUACGUGGGGAGAAUGGAAUAAAGAGCAACUGAUCACCAAUCCGCCUGGCGGCCCCGUUCAUUCCUUCAUGUGUCUGUUGUCGGUGGCUGCAGCCCGUGUUGGGGGAAGCAGAUCAUGGCCACCAAAAGCAUGGGGUGGAUGAGAGACCACGCCAUUGCCACCACAUCUCACUCUUAUUUUGUGAACUUACACAACUCACCAGCACACACGCCUCUGUUCCCUGGCCUUAGGACUCCUUCCAGCCAGAACACUGCAGAUUUCACUCUGAAAUGCCCAAAACCCCAAAGACACAUCUACAUAGGCCUGCAUCCAGCAUUCACUACUGUUGUGCAGGAAUGUAUUUGAAAACUGCACAAACAGUAUUUGGAUAAGAAAAUUAUCCUCAUGUCCCGGUGUUUACUAUACAACAGGAUGUGAAAAACUGUCUCACAGUUGGAGCAUCUGCAGUGAGUCUGCUUUUUAAAGAUGAGCAUUAUACUUGGGGCCAAGGUAGUGAUACAGUAGAGAAGGUGCUUGCCUUGCUUUUGGCUGACCCAGGUUUGAUACCCAGCACCCGAGAUGGGUUCCUGACCCUUGGGAGAAAUGAUCACUGAGAUUAGAGAAAGGAGUUAGCCAUGAACACUGCAGGGUGUGGCCCCCAAAUACUGCAACAAAAAAGGUAACUAAUGAAGAAAAAGAAAAGAAACCCAAAAAUAAAUUCAUGUGCAAAAACAGUUUCUACAGUAAAACACUUAAAGAACUGAACAGUGGAUCCUUAAAUUCACUGUGUCUGGACUUAUAUUAUGCUGCAGAAGCCCAUGUUUUAUCCUGAAUACUUAUUCUUUGUUCUCUACUCUCACAUCCUCUGUGUGUCUUUGGUUUGGGGCAAAAACCAACAGUAUUCAGGGAUUAUUCCUACUCUGGGAUGAGGUAGUCUUGGUGGGGUUUGGGGAAAAGAUAAGAUGCCACAGAUAGAAUCUGGGUUGGUCGCUAGCAAGGCAAGUACCAUACUUGCUAUAUUCUGGCCCUUUUUAAAUAAAUUAUUUCCAGCACACCAGGAGUGAGCCCUAGGCAAAGGUUCUAUUCACUCCGGACCCCCAUAAAAAAUUAAUUUCUUUCUUCAAAUAUCUUAUUUACCAGCACUACUCAAAACAACACUGUGGGUAGCCUGCUAAGGGAAAGAUGAAACAAGGGGGGUGCUUUGCUCUGUGACUUUAAGAAGCACAUAGUCCUACACAUUCUUUUUGCCCUUUUUGGGUCACACUUGAUGGAUGCUUAGGAUUUCCUCCUGGCUCUGCACUCAGAAAUUACUACUGCACCAAGCUCCACAUCCUCGGCAGAACACACAAACCCAAGGUCUGACAUACUUAAAAAAAAAACCUUAACCACAGUACUCACCCCAAUAGCCUGGGUCGCCUGAUCACAGUGAGAUGAGAA